AAAACUAAGAUCAUCCCUCCUUCCACCAAGGAAGAGUUAUUUGAGGAGCAAUACAUCAACCACAAGAUUUGCUAAGUCUCAGCUUUUUCCAGUGAAUCAUUCAAUCCAAUACCAUCACUGCUGUUUCAGUAGACCACAAGGAAAUAAAAUCCACUGCCAUUGUUCUGACAAUGAGUGGAGUCCCUGAUUCUGCUGGAGGAGAUAAAAAUUGAACUGGUGUCCAUACACACUCUGUCAGUAAAUGUCAGAUACUGAGACUCAUAUGAUUCCUGCAGAAACUUCAAUCACUCAAGGGUUAAUUUCACUUCCUUGUGUUGCAAUUACCAUCAGCACUGUUUUACUAUGGUGCAGAUGGACUGGUGGACUGUGACCUGAACAGUUUCCUGUAGGUCCUGAAAAUUAUGCUGCUGGUCCCUCACAAGACCACCAGCAGCUACAUUGUCCAUUAUUUUGUUCUCUAGUUUUAUA